GAUGAACGCUGACAGAAUGCUUAACACAUGCAAGUCAACUUGAACUUCGGUUUGGGUGGCGGACGGGUGAGUAACGCGUAAAGAACUUGCCUCACAGCUAGGGACAACAUUUGGAAACGAAUGCUAAUACCUGAUAUUAUGAUUUUAGGGCAUCCUAGAAUUAUGAAAGCUAUAUGCGCUGUGAGAGAGCUUUGCGUCCCAUUAGCUAGUUGGAGAGGUAACGGCUCACCAAGGCGAUGAUGGGUAGCCGGCCUGAGAGGGUGAACGGCCACAAGGGGACUGAGACACGGCCCUUACUCCUACGGGAGGCAGCAGUGGGGAAUAUUGGACAAUGGACCAAGAGUCUGAUCCAGCAAUUCUGUGUGCACGAUGAAGUUUUUCGGAAUGUAAAGUGCUUUCAGUUGGGAAGAAAAAAAUGACGGUACCAACAGAAGAAGGGACGGCUAAAUACGU
rnacentral:rRNA from 1 species